rnacentral:rRNA from 1 species
UACGUAGGGGGCGAGCGUUGUCCGGAUUCAUUGGGCGUAAAGAGCUCGUAGGCGGUUUGGUAAGUCGGGUGUGAAAACCCCAGGCUCAACCUGGGGACGCCACCUGAUACUGCUAUGACUUGAGUCUGGUAGGGGACCACGGAAUUCCUGGUGUAGCGGUGAAAUGCGCAGAUAUCAGGAGGAACACCGGUGGCGAAGGCGGUGGUCUGGGCCAGUACUGACGCUGAGGAGCGAAAGCGUGGGGAGCAAACAGG